UACGGGGGGAGCAAGCGUUGUUCGGAUUUACUGGGCGUAAAGGGCGCGUAGGCGGCCAGCACAAGUCAGUUGUGAAAUCUCCGAGCUUAACUCGGAAAGGUCAACUGAUACUGUGCGGCUAGAGUGCGGAAGGGGCAACUGGAAUUCUUGGUGUAGCGGUGAAAUGCGUAGAUAUCAAGAGGAACACCUGCGGCGAAGGCGGGUUGCUGGGCCGACACUGACGCUGAUGCGCGAAAAGCUAGGGGGAGCAAACGGGAUUAAGAA
rnacentral:rRNA from 1 species